CUCAAUAGCAGCAAAAGAGUUUUGCAAUACAAUAUGAACACAAUAAGUACAUUGUACUUAUAUAUUUAUUUAUUUUUGUUGAUGUAACUACAUAGCAGAUAAAGCCACCUUAUGUAAAGUGGGACCAUGAGAAAUCCUCUGUAAUGCAUCUUUACCAGCAAAGAACAAAGUGUGUGGCUUUAUAAACAAACUGUGAAUUAAGCCACUAGGCUUAAGGAACUAGGCUACAUAUUCAAUGAUUCUAAUUACACUUAAUACAUUUUUUUAACAGGUUAAGCUGCCAUGGAUACUGUGAAGACUUUCCUCACUAUCCUUUAUGUGCUUCUAUACAGCGGUUUCUGCUCAGAAAUGAAUUGUAAUGAUGGAGAAUGUAAACCCGUUAAGGACACCACACAAGUAUUCUGUGAGUGCCAUAAGAUGUACCGUGGUCCAGCUUGUAUUAUUAACUAUGCAGCUCUUGAAAGUAAAAUCAAUGGUAUUAUAUAUAAACCAGUCCCUGAUCUGACAACAAUUUAUUUUAGUGUCAAGGAGCUGAAGGACUACACACAAGAAAUAGUUGAGUCUGUCCAAGAUGACAUCCAGUGGUCACAAAUAGCUGUGAAAUACAGCAAUGUGAUUCAUACGUUUAGAAACAUCAGCACAUUACAUACACAACUUAAAAAUGGUACAAUAACCCAACGCCACUAUGUGUCUGAAGUUGGAGUUCAGUUCACAGGGGGAAACUCUUUUCAGUUUCAUCUCACAGACUUUCACCACAUGAUGAUGGGCACUGGAUUUGGAGACAAACACAACAUUCUGGAUAUUUUUCGCAAGUCGCUGGUCCAGGACUCCCAAAAACAGUCUGCUGAGCCAGUAGAGUGCACAAAAUACUACACUGACCAGAUUGAUUAUUUUGUGCGCUACAUGUUUGCUCUUGAAAAGGAAGCUGUUUUAGCAUGGUCGAAAUAUUUAAUGGUCACUGGAAAAUCAGAGAACUUUGAUUUUGUUGAGAAGGUUUUUAAGGACUAUGUUUCACGGCAGUGGAGACUCUUCAAUAAAAAUGGAUGUGGCCCUCUAAAGGCUGCAGAUCUUCAGAACAACCAUUGCAAGGAGCAGUACCACAGCACAGCCCAGCAGCAGGUGAAAAUUAAAUGUGGUGGAUUAUUGAAGCCCUUCCCCGAGUCUGUGGGGUGUUCUGGAGGGCAGUGGAGCGCUUUACCUGUGUGCUACUCUGAGCAGGUAAAUGGGCGAGUUGAGUGCAAAUCUGAAGGUGGAGUCACCGUCUGUAAGGCCUCAUGCUCACCUGGCUGGGGUUCUGCCACACACCCUCUGCCUGCUGAGUAUAAAUGCCCAAAGCCACCAUGUCCAUCCUUCACACCACACAAGUGUAACAAUUGCACACAGAACAGUGUGUGUAAGGACCAUGAGGUCUGCACCGGCUCCAUUGGCACAUGUCUUGAAACAUGCCUAGUUAAACCCUGUGGAGUGAACGCCAAAUGCUCGUCCUCCAAUCAUGACAGGAGCUGCACUUGUGUGAGCCCGUGGAAAGGAGACCCAUACCAGGGCUGCAGGAGUCAAGACCUCCAGUGGGUUCAGACCGAAGGAGUGCCCAGCAAUGCUGUUCGUUCUAAUGCCCAACUUGUGGUAUGCAAAGCCAUUGGACCUGACAGCGGGUGGCACAGUGGGUUUGUAAAGGAUCAACGGUGUAAUUAUGAAUAUGAUGGAAGAAAGCAUCAGGCCAAUAGCUAUGAGGUUCUGGUUGAUCCAUGUGGAGGAAGUGGUUGGAAAUGGAUGGAGGGGGAACAGCAGAACAUGGUCUCAUAUGAUGAAUCAAAGAGGUUUCCUGGAGUCAAAUACUAUGUGUGCAGGUUAGUGCCAAUACAAAUACAAUUCAUAGUUGCAAAAAAGAAAUCCUUUAUGAAACAUGUAUGUUUGCAGACUUUAACUGAAAUUGAACCCAUCUCAAAAAUGUCAAAUGUUUUAUUGAGAUUAAAAUAUAAGGUUAUGUUGUGUAUGUCUGUGAUGGUGUUCUAAUGUGUUCUUUGUCACCCUAUAGCGGGAAAAGUGAUGACCUUGUAGGGAAGCUUUUCAACACGCGACAAGGAUUUAUGUGCCAUAUUGCCAAGGACAAUACCAGAGAUGGAAGUUUCUAUGCUCUGGUUCCACAACCAUGUAUCUGAAGACACUUCACCGUGAUUCACUGUUCAGUUCUUAAGUUUCUCUAGUUCAUUUAAAGCUGAAACUCGGUGGAGGUGCUGUAUUAACCUUUUGAAAGACAGACUGGACCCAGAUGCACAGAUGGAAAGGAGUAGCCAAGUCUCGCAAAAAAAUUAAGUAUGUGGCACAAACAGAUGUGGUAAUUGUUAGUACUUUUUAUUAAGUUGUUUUGCAGUGGGAUCUUUUUUAGGAAUAAAUAAAGGUAUAAAAAUAGUUUGAUGAUAUAU
ensembl:lncRNA